UUGCCACGUGGACAUCAUGGCGACCAUG
rnacentral:sRNA from 1 species